rnacentral:rRNA from 1 species
CAGCCGCCGCGGUAAUACGUAGGGUGCGAGCGUUAAUCGGAAUUACUGGGCGUAAAGCGUGCGCAGGCGGUUUUGUAAGACAGGCGUGAAAUCCCCGGGCUUAACCUGGGAAUGGCGCUUGUGACUGCAAGGCUAGAGUGCGUCAGAGGGGGGUAGAAUUCCACGUGUAGCAGUGAAAUGCGUAGAGAUGUGGAGGAAUACCGACGGCGAAGGCAGCCCCCUGGGACGAGACUGACGCUCAUGCACGAAAGCGUGGGGAGCGAACAGGAUUAGAUACCCGCGUAGUCCCUGUCUCUUAUAC